rnacentral:rRNA from 1 species
GAUGAACGCUGGCGGCGUGCCUAAUACAUGCAAGUCGAGCGAACAGACGAGGAGCUUGCUCCUCUGACGUUAGCGGCGGACGGGUGAGUAACACGUGGAUAACCUACCUAUAAGACUGGGAUAACUUCGGGAAACCGGAGCUAAUACCGGAUAAUAUUUUGAACCGCAUGGUUCAAUAGUGAAAGACGGUUUUGCUGUCACUUAUAGAUGGAUCCGCGCUGCAUUAGCUAGUUGGUAAGGUAACGGCUUACCAAGGCAACGAUGCGUAGCCGACCUGAGAGGGUGAUCGGCCACACUGGAACUGAGACACGGUCCAGACUCCUACGGGAGGCAGCAGUAGGGAAUCUUCCGCAAUGGGCGAAAGCUUGACGGAGCAACGCCGCGUGAGUGAUGAAGGUCUUCGGAUCGUAAAACUCUGUUAUUAGGGAAGAACAAAUGUGUAAGUAACUAUGCACGUCUUGACGGUACCUAAUCAGAAAGCCACGGCUAACUACGUG